rnacentral:lncRNA from 1 species
GAUGGCUUUGUGCGCUGAUCAAGGGUGGAGAAGUGAGGCGCCAAUUAAAAAAGUUGCGCGACCCUUCGGAGAAACACCACAUAAUUUUUUUCGGAGAGUCCUUCUGCGUGAAGCGACUCUUGGAAUUAAUUCUGAUGCUUCCACGUAAGAGAUCAGACUUGGACCAACAUGUGAAGGGUGGAAGGUGUGAGAAUGGGCGUGAGAAAUUGCUUGGAAGGGCGCGAGAUGAUUGGAUAAGCGUCUAAUCUCCAAAUAUAAAAGGGGACGCACGUCGGGGUUCCGAUUCAUUCAGAAAAUCCUAAUCUCUUCUUUCUUACACAAGUCUCCCCUCUUGUCCAAUUAUUCCUUUCCUUUCCUUGUUAGGACAAGUCCUAAAAUAGUCAGG